rnacentral:rRNA from 1 species
GACGAACGCUGGCGGCGUGCCUAAUACAUGCAAGUAGAACGCUGAAGAGAGGAGCUUGCUCUUCUUGGAUGAGUUGCGAACGGGUGAGUAACGCGUAGGUAACCUGCCUUGUAGCGGGGGAUAACUAUUGGAAACGAUAGCUAAUACCGCAUAACAAUGGAUGCCACAUGUCAUUUAUUUGCAAGGGGCAAUUACUCCACUACAAGAUGGACCUGCGUUGUAUUAGCUAGUAGGUGAGGUAACGGCUCACCUAGGCGACGAUACAUAGCCGACCUGAGAGGGUGAUCGGCCACACUGGGACUGAGACACGGCCCAGACUCCUACGGGAGGCAGCAGUAGGGAAUCUUCGGCAAUGGGGGCAACCCUGACCGAGCAACGCCGCGUGAGUGAAGAAGGUUUUCGGAUCGGAAAGCUCUGUUGUAAGGCAAGAACGAGUGUGAGAGUGGAAAGUUCACACUGUGACGGUAGCUUACCAGAAAGGGACGGCUAACUACGUG